rnacentral:rRNA from 1 species
UGGGGAAUUUUGGACAAUGGGCGCAAGCCUGAUCCAGCCAUGCCGCGUGCGGGAAGAAGGCCUUCGGGUUGUAAACCGCUUUUGUCAGGGAAGAAAUCUUCUGAGUUAAUACCUCGGGAGGAUGACGGUACCUGAAGAAUAAGCACCGGCUAACUACGUGCCAGCAGCCGCGGUAAUACGUAGGGCGCAAGCGUUAAUCGGAAUUACUGGGCGUAAAGCGUGCGCAGGCGGUUUUGUAAGACAGAGGUGAAAUCCCCGGGCUCAACCUGGGAACUGCCUUUGUGACUGCAAGGCUUGAGUGCGGCAGAGGGGAUGGAAUUCCGCGUGUAGCAGUGAAAUGCGUAGAUAUGCGGAGGAACACCGAUGGCGAAGGCAAUCCCCUGGGCCUGCACUGACGCUCAUGCACGAAAGCGUGGGGAGCAAACAGGAUUAGAUAGCCCUGUAGUCCACGCCCUAAAACGAUGUCAACUGGUUGUUGGGAAGGUUCCUUCUCAGUAACGUAGCUAACGCGUGAAGUUGACCGCCUGGGGAGUACGGCCGCAA